GGGGGCGACAUGGUUUCGACGGGGACAGGUCGGACCCCGAGGAGCAGGCCGGGUGGCACCCGUAACAGCCGAGAGCAACAGCUCCCGAAGCUGAACUCGCAAUGGCUGCCUAAUUGACGGCAGCCCGUCCUUAGGCGGUUUGCGCCCGGCCGCCUAAGGGCGUCAAAGGAGGGCGCUGGGGCUCCGUCCCCCGCCCGCCGGGGACGGGGUCGACACUUGCGGCGGCUUAGCCCCUCGCCCGUCGGGGGCUAGGCCGACAACCCAGACGGGACCCCUUGCGGGAGUUUGCCGGUGGACGCCCGCAAGGCGGUACAAAACACCGGCUAAGCCUGUAGAGCCUCGGAGGUCCGGCGUCUCCGGACGCGGGUUCGAUUCCCGCCGCCUCCACUG
rnacentral:tmRNA from 1 species